GGAGGUGAAAGACCUGUACUCUGAAAACUAGAAAGCACUGAUGAAAGAAAGUGAAAAUGAGGUCUGAGACUAGGGCUAAAAGCAGCCCUCACAGGGUCCCAGAGGCGAGUUCCCAGAAAGCAGGGUUCUGUAGGAGGGCAGACUGGGCAGGAGAUGUCAUAAACCCCACCCCAGGGGAGUGGCCUGGCAGAUGCUUCCUUAGCAGGAGCUUGAAACAGACAAGUGAGUGAAGUGAAUUCAGUGGUUGAGGUGAGAUACACUGCCUGGGAUCCUCAAAACCCAAUUUAGACUAUUCUCCCCACCCUCU
ensembl:ribozyme RNaseP_nuc Nuclear RNase P